CGUAGGGUCCGAGCGUUGUCCGGAAUUAUUGGGCGUAAAGGGCUUGUAGGCGGUCCGUCGCGUCAGGAGUGAAACUCGGGCUUAACCCGAGCCUGCUUUGAUACGGGCGGACUAGAGGGAUGCAGGGGAGAACGGAAUUCCUGGUGGAGCGGUGGAAUGCGCAGAUAUCAGGAGGAACACCGGUGGCGAAGGCGGUUCUCUGGGCAUCACCUGACGCUGAGAAGCGAAAGCGUGGGGAGCAAACAGGCUU
rnacentral:rRNA from 1 species